CUCUCCGCGGGCCGGACAAAAUCUGUCCGCGGGCCGGAUGUGGCCCUUGGGCCGUAGUUUGGAGACCCCUGUUGUAAAACAUAUUGGGUUUAAUAAAAAGAGGCCUAAUCAGCACACAGACAAAUCAGCAUGAUGCAGUCAAUCACCCAGCUCAAAUGGAAGGAUACUUACUUGUGCCAUAUAAUUUGAAAAAGUUUAAUUUCAUAAACAAAAUAAUGAAGACAUGUAAUAAGAUGAUGUCAACUAGAAGAGGACAGACUAUAUUCACUCUUGUAAGAAAUGACAAAAACCCUUUAAAGAACGUGCAGGGGAGUGAUGUCUAUAAAAUACUGGUAGAAAAUGCCAGGACUAAUCAGAAAUUUGCAUAUAUAGGUGUAACUAAAUGAACUCUUAACACAAUGAUUAGAGGAAUAUAGAGAUAUAUCUAAAGGUAAAUUAAUGACAGCUUUGACAAUUGAAGGAUA
rnacentral:lncRNA from 1 species